rnacentral:rRNA from 1 species
GAUGAACGCUGGCGGCGUGCUUAAUACAUGCAAGUCGAACGGAGACGUUAUAGCAAUAUGAUGUCUUAGUGGCGAACGGGUGAGUAACGCGUUGGUGACCUGCCCCGAAGAGGGGGAUAACAGCUCGAAAGGGCUGCUAAUACCCCAUGUGGUCGCGAAGGUUAGAGGCUUUGCGAUUAAAGGAGUAAUCCACUUCGGGAGGGGCCUGCGUCCCAUCAGCUAGUUGGUAGGGUAAAAGCCUACCAAGGCGACGACGGGUAGGGGGCCUGAGAGGGUGACCCCCCACACUGGCACUGAAACACGGGCCAGACACCUACGGGUGGCUG